GCACACACACGCGCGCGCACAUGCACAUAGGCACACACAGAUAAGCACACACACACACACAAACGCACUCAGAUUCCCCGGACCCUGGUUUUCCUCCUGAGACCUUUUCGGGGCGGGGCUCUCACCCUUCAGAAGCAGCCCCGCCUUGCAGUGGCCCCACCCUCUCCUGGGACCUGUCAUAAAGCGGUCCUCGGGCGCCCGGCCGCGCAGUCCCAGCCGCCUUCCCCAGGCAGUGGAACCCUCAGGCUCCUGAGCUUCAGGAUGGUUCGUACUAAGAUAUGGACCCUGAAGAAGCACUUUGUUGGCCAUCCUACUAACAGUGACUUUGAGUUGAAGACAGCUGAGCUACCACCCUUAAAAAAUGGAGAGGUCCUGCUUGAAGCUUUGUUCCUCACCGUGGAUCCUUACAUGAGGUAUUAUUUAUUUCCCCC